rnacentral:rRNA from 1 species
CGGGUGAGUAACGCGUGAGGAACCUGCCUCAAAGAGGGGGACAACAGUUGGAAACGACUGCUAAUACCGCAUAAGCCCACAGCUCGGCAUCGAGCAGAGGGAAAAGGAGUGAUCCGCUUUGAGAUGGCCUCGCGCCCGAUUAGCUAGUUGGUGAGGUAACGGCCCACCAAGGCGACGAUCGGUAGCCGGACUGAGAGGUUGAACGGCCACAUUGGGACUGAGACACGGCCCAG